rnacentral:rRNA from 1 species
GAUGAACGCUGGCGGCGUGCCUAAUACAUGCAGGUCGAGCGAACGGACGAGAAGCUUGCUCCUCUGAUGUUAGCGGCGGACGGGUGAGUAACACGUGGGUAACCUACCUAUAAGACUGGGAUAACUUCGGGAAACCGUAGCUAAUACCGGAUAAUAUUUUGAACCGCACGGUUCAAAAGUGAAAGACGGUCUUGCUGUCACUUAUAGAUGGAUCCGCGCUGCAUUAGCUAGUCGGUAAGGUAACGGCUUACCAAGGCAACGAUGCAUAGCCGACCUGAGAGGGUGAUCCGCCACGCUGGAACUGAGCCACGGUCCAGCCUCCUCCGGGAGGCCCCGGUAGGGCAGCUUCCGCAUUGGGCGAACGCCUGACGAAGCACAGCCGCGUGAGUAAUGGAGGUCUUCGGAUCCUAAAACUCUGUUAUUAGGGAGGAACCUAUGUGUAAGUAACUGUGCGCACUUUGGCGGUAGCUAAUCAGAUAGCCACGGCUAACUCCGUG